GCGCAGCAGGCGCGAAACCUCCGCAAUGCGCGAAAGCGCGACGGGGUUACCCCGAGUGCCGUCCGCUGAGGACGGCUUUUGCCCAGUGUAGCCAGCUGGGCGAAUAAGGAGAGGGCAAGUCUGGUGUCAGCCGCCGCGGUAAUACCAGCUCUCCGAGUGGUGGGGACGCUUAUUGGGCCUAAAGCAUCCGUAGCCGGUCUGGCAAGUCCCUUGUUAAAUCCAACGAUUCAAUCGUUGGACUGCAAGGGGAUACUGCCAGACUAGGGGGCGGGAGAGGCCGACGGUAUUCCCGGGGUAGGGGUGAAAUCCUAUAAUCCCGGGAGGACCACUAGUGGCGAAGGCUGUCGGCUAAAACGCGCCCGACGGUGAGGGAUGAAAGCUGGGGGAGCG
rnacentral:rRNA from 1 species